UACAGCAGCCAUUUCACCCUGCAUCUCACAAGUGGAAACCCCCUGAAGCUCAGCAGUUGUGAGCCUGGUCAGUACCUGGAUGGGAGACCUCCUGGGAAAAACUAAGGCUGCUGCUGGAA
rnacentral:rRNA from 1 species